UACGAAGGGAGCUAGCGUUGUUCGGAAUCACUGGGCGUAAAGCGCACGUAGGCGGAUGUGUCAGUCAGGGGUGAAAUCCCGGAGCUCAACUUCGGAACUGCCUUUGAUACAGCACGUCUUGAGUCCGGAAGAGGUGGGUGGGAAUUCCACGUGUAGCAGUGAAAUGCGUAGAGAUGUGGAGGAACACCGAUGGCGAAGGCAGCCCCCUGGGCUAACACUGACGCUCAUGCACGAAAGCGUGGGGAGCAAACAGG
rnacentral:rRNA from 1 species